UGGGCUCUUGCUCGAAAAAAAAAAAAUGCUUGCUCGAAGGAAAAUCGUAAUUUCUGUACUAGAACGAGUCCAUGGAACCAAUUGUUUGUACCAUUGCUAUCAGAAUUGCAACCACUACCGAUGCAAACACAAUUC